rnacentral:rRNA from 1 species
GUGGAUUAGAUACCCCGGUAGUCCGCACUGUAAACGAUGAUUACUCGCUGCUGGAAGGUAACUUUCAGUGGCUUAGCGAAAGCGAUAAGUAAUCCACCUGGGAGUACGCCGGCAACGGUGAAACUCAAAGGAAUUGACGGGGGCCCGCACAAGCGGAGGAGCAUGUGGUUUAAUUCGAUGAUACGCGAGGAACCUUACCAGGGCUUGAAAGUUAGGGAAUAACUCUGAAAGGAGUUAGUCAGCAAUGACCCGAAACUAGGUGCUGCACGGCUGUCGUCAACU